rnacentral:rRNA from 1 species
GCAGCGACGCUUAUNGUACACGGUGGAUGCCCUGGCAGUCAGAGGCGAUGAAGGACGUGCUAAUCUGCGAUAAGCGUCGGUAAGGUGAUAUGAACCGUUAUAACCGGCGAUUUCCGAAUGGGGAAACCCAGUGUGAUUCGUCACACUAUCAUUAACUGAAUCCAUAGGUUAAUGAGGCGAACCGGGGGAACUGAAACAUCUAAGUACCCCGAGGAAAAGAAAUCAACCGAGAUUCCCCCAGUAGCGGCGAGCGGACGGGGAGCAGCCCAGAGCCUGAAUCAGUGUGUGUGUUAGUGGAAGCGUCUGGAAAGGCGUGCGAUACAGGGUGACAGCCCCGUACACAAAAAUGCACAUAUUGUGAGCUUGAUGAGUAGGGCGGGACACGUGGUAUCCUGUCUGAAUAUGGGGGGACCAUCCUCCAAGGCUAAAUACUCCUGACUGACCGAUAGUGAACCAGUACCGUGAGGGAAAGGCGAAAAGAACCCCGGCGAGGGGAGUGAAAAAGAACCUGAAACCGUGUACGUACAAGCAGUGGGAGCACGCUUAGGCGUGUGACUGCGUACCUUUUGUAUAAUGGGUCAGCGACUUAUAUUCUGUAGCAAGGUUAACCGAAUAGGGGAGCCGAAGGGAAACCGAGUCUUAACUGGGCGUUAAGUUGCAGGGUAUAGACCCGAAACCCGGUGAUCUAGCCAUGGGCAGGUUGAAGGUUGGGUAACACUAACUGGAGGACCGAACCGACUAAUGUUGAAAAAUUAGCGGAUGACUUGUGGCUGGGGGUGAAAGGCCAAUCAAACCGGGAGAUAGCUGGUUCUCCCCGAAAGCUAUUUAGGUAGCGCCUCGUGAAUUCAUCUCCGGGGGUAGAGCACUGUUUCGGCAAGGGGGUCAUCCCGACUUACCAACCCGAUGCAAACUGCGAAUACCGGAGAAUGUUAUCACGGGAGACACACGGCGGGUGCUAACGUCCGUCGUGAAGAGGGAAACAACCCAGACCGCCAGCUAAGGUCCCAAAGUCAUGGUUAAGUGGGAAACGAUGUGGGAAGGCCCAGACAGCCAGGAUGUUGGCUUAGAAGCAGCCAUCAUUUAAAGAAAGCGUAAUAGCUCACUGGUCGAGUCGGCCUGCGCGGAAGAUGUAACGGGGCUAAACCAUGCACCGAAGCUGCGGCAGCGACGCUUAUGCGUUGUUGGGUAGGGGAGCGUUCUGUAAGCCUGCGAAGGUGUGCUGUGAGGCAUGCUGGAGGUAUCAGAAGUGCGAAUGCUGACAUAAGUAACGAUAAAGCGGGUGAAAAGCCCGCUCGCCGGAAGACCAAGGGUUCCUGUCCAACGUUAAUCGGGGCAGGGUGAGUCGACCCCUAAGGCGAGGCCGAAAGGCGUAGUCGAUGGGAAACAGGUUAAUAUUCCUGUACUUGGUGUUACUGCGAAGGGGGGACGGAGAAGGCUAUGUUGGCCGGGCGACGGUUGUCCCGGUUUAAGCGUGUAGGCUGGUUUUCCAGGCAAAUCCGGAAAAUCAAGGCUGAGGCGUGAUGACGAGGCACUACGGUGCUGAAGCAACAAAUGCCCUGCUUCCAGGAAAAGCCUCUAAGCAUCAGGUAACAUCAAAUCGUACCCCAAACCGACACAGGUGGUCAGGUAGAGAAUACCAAGGCGCUUGAGAGAACUCGGGUGAAGGAACUAGGCAAAAUGGUGCCGUAACUUCGGGAGAAGGCACGCUGAUAUGUAGGUGAAGUCCCUUGCGGAUGGAGCUGAAAUCAGUCGAAGAUACCAGCUGGCUGCAACUGUUUAUUAAAAACACAGCACUGUGCAAACACGAAAGUGGACGUAUACGGUGUGACGCCUGCCCGGUGCCGGAAGGUUAAUUGAUGGGGUCAGCGCAAGCGAAGCUCUUGAUCGAAGCCCCGGUAAACGGCGGCCGUAACUAUAACGGUCCUAAGGUAGCGAAAUUCCUUGUCGGGUAAGUUCCGACCUGCACGAAUGGCGUAAUGAUGGCCAGGCUGUCUCCACCCGAGACUCAGUGAAAUUGAACUCGCUGUGAAGAUGCAGUGUACCCGCGGCAAGACGGAAAGACCCCGUGAACCUUUACUAUAGCUUGACACUGAACAUUGAGCCUUGAUGUGUAGGAUAGGUGGGAGGCUUUGAAGUGUGGACGCCAGUCUGCAUGGAGCCGGCCUUGAAAUACCACCCUUUAAUGUUUGAUGUUCUAACGUGGACCCGUGAUCCGGGUUGCGGACAGUGUCUGGUGGGUAGUUUGACUGGGGCGGUCUCCUCCUAAAGAGUAACGGAGGAGCACGAAGGUUGGCUAAUCCUGGUCGGACAUCAGGAGGUUAGUGCAAUGGCAUAAGCCAGCUUGACUGCGAGCGUGACGGCGCGAGCAGGUGCGAAAGCAGGUCAUAGUGAUCCGGUGGUUCUGAAUGGAAGGGCCAUCGCUCAACGGAUAAAAGGUACUCCGGGGAUAACAGGCUGAUACCGCCCAAGAGUUCAUAUCGACGGCGGUGUUUGGCACCUCGAUGUCGGCUCAUCACAUCCUGGGGCUGAAGUAGGUCCCAAGGGUAUGGCUGUUCGCCAUUUAAAGUGGUACGCGAGCUGGGUUUAGAACGUCGUGAGACAGUUCGGUCCCUAUCUGCCGUGGGCGCUGGAGAACUGAGGGGGGCUGCUCCUAGUACGAGAGGACCGGAGUGGACGCAUCACUGGUGUUCGGGUUGUCAUGCCAAUGGCACUGCCCGGUAGCUAAAUGCGGAAGAGAUAAGUGCUGAAAGCAUCUAAGCACGAAACUUGCCCCGAGAUGAGUUCUCCCUGACCCUUUAAGGGUCCUGAAGGAACGUUGAAGACGACGACGUUGAUAGGCCGGGUGUGUAAGCGCAGCGAUGCGUUGAGCUAACCGGUACUAAUGAACCGUGAGGCUUAACCUU